ACGUAGGGUGCAAGCGUUAAUCGGAAUUACUGGGCGUAAAGCGUGCGCAGGCGGUUUUGUAAGACAGGCGUGAAAUCCCCGGGCUCAACCUGGGAAUGGCGCUUGUGACUGCAAAGCUGGAGUGCGGCAGAGGGGGAUGGAAUUCCGCGUGUAGCAGUGAAAUGCGUAGAUAUGCGGAGGAACACCAAUGGCGAAGGCAAUCCCCUGGGCCUGCACUGACGCUCAUGCACGAAAGCGUGGGGAGCAAACAG
rnacentral:rRNA from 1 species